rnacentral:rRNA from 1 species
AUUGAACGCUGGCGGCAUGCCUUACACAUGCAAGUCGAACGGCAGCAUGGAGAGCUUGCUCUCUGAUGGCGAGUGGCGAACGGGUGAGUAAUGCAUCGGAACGUACCGUGUAAUGGGGGAUAACGUAGCGGAAGUUACGCUAAUACCGCAUACGACCUGAGGGUGAAAGCAGGGGAUCGCAAGACCUUGCGUUAUACGAGCGGCCGAUGUCAGAUUAGCUAGUUGGUGAGGUAAAGGCCCACCAAGGCGACGAUCUGUAGCGGGUCUGAGAGGAUGAUCCGCCACACUGGGACUGAGACACGGCCCAGACUCCUACGGGAGGCAGCAGUGGGGAAUUUUGGACAAUGGGGGCAACCCUGAUCCAGCCAUGCCGCGUGAGUGAAGAAGGCCUUCGGGUUGUAAAGCUCUUUCGGCCGGGAAGAAAUCGCACAGGCUAAUACUCUGUGUGGAUGACGGUACCGGCAUAAGAAGCACCGGCUAACUACGUGCCAGCAGCCGCCGUAA